UGUGAACUCGAAGAGUAGGGCGGGACACGUGGUAUCCUGUCUGAAUAUGGGGGGACCAUCCUCCAAGGCUAAAUACUCCUGACUGACCGAUAGUGAACCAGUACCGUGAGGGAAAGGCGAAAAGAACCCCGGCGAGGGGAGUGAAAAAGAACCUGAAACCGUGUACGUACAAGCAGUGGGAGCACCUUCGGGUGUGACUGCGUACCUUUUGUAUAAUGGGUCAGCGACUUAUAUUCUGUAGCAAGGUUAACCGUAUAGGGGAGCCGCAGGGAAACCGAGUCUUAACUGGGCGUUAAGUUGCAGGGUAUAGACCCGAAACCCGGUGAUCUAGCCAUGGGCAGGUUGAAGGUUGGGUAACACUAACUGGAGGACCGAACCGACUAAUGUUGAAAAAUUAGCGGAUGACUUGUGGCUGGGGGUGAAAGGCCAAUCAAACCGGGAGAUAGCUGGUUCUCCCCGAAAGCUAUUUAGGUAGCGCCUCGUGAACUCAUCUUCGGGGGUAGAGCACUGUUUCGGCUAGGGGGUCAUCCCGACUUACCAACCCGAUGCAAACUACGAAUACCGAAGAAUGUUAUCACGGGAGACACACGGCGGGUGCUAACGUCCGUCGUGAAGAGGGAAACAACCCAGACCGCCAGCUAAGGUCCCAAAGUCAUGGUUAAGUGGGAAACGAUGUGGGAAGGCACAGACAGCCAGGAUGUUGGCUUAGAAGCAGCCAUCAUUUAAAGAAAGCGUAAUAGCUCACUGGUCGAGUCGGCCUGCGCGGAAGAUGUAACGGGGCUAAACCAUGCACCGAAGCUGCGGCAGCGACACUAUGUGUUGUUGGGUAGGGGAGCGUUCUGUAAGCCUGCGAAGGUGACCUGUGAGGGUUGCUGGAGGUAUCAGAAGUGCGAAUGCUGACAUAAGUAACGAUAAAGCGGGUGAAAAGCCCGCUCGCCGGAAGACCAAGGGUUCCUGUCCAACGUUAAUCGGGGCAGGGUGAGUCGACCCCUAAGGCGAGGCCGAAAGGCGUAGUCGAUGGGAAACAGGUUAAUAUUCCUGUACUUGGUGUUACUGCGAAGGGGGGACGGAGAAGGCUAUGUUAGCCGGGCGACGGUUGUCCCGGUUUAAGCAUGUAGGCUGGUUGUCCAGGCAAAUCCGGAUAAUCAAGGCUGAGGUGUGAUGACGAGGCACUACGGUGCUGAAGUAACAAAUGCCCUGCUUCCAGGAAAAGCCUCUAAGCAUCAGGUAACAUCAAAUCGUACCCCAAACCGACACAGGUGGUCAGGUAGAGAAUACCAAGGCGCUUGAGAGAACUCGGGUGAAGGAACUAGGCAAAAUGGUGCCGUAACUUCGGGAGAAGGCACGCUGGUGUGUAGGUGAAGUCCCUGCGGAUGGAGCUGAGACCAGUCGAAGAUACCAGCUGGCUGCAACUGUUUAUUAAAAACACAGCACUGUGCAAACACGAAAGUGGACGUAUACGGUGUGACGCCUGCCCGGUGCCGGAAGGUUAAUUGAUGGGGUUAUCCGUAAGGAGAAGCUCUUGAUCGAAGCCCCGGUAAACGGCGGCCGUAACUAUAACGGUCCUAAGGUAGCGAAAUUCCUUGUCGGGUAAGUUCCGACCUGCACGAAUGGCGUAAUGAUGGCCAGGCUGUCUCCACCCGAGACUCAGUGAAAUUGAACUCGCUGUGAAGAUGCAGUGUACCCGCGGCAAGACGGAAAGACCCCGUGAACCUUUACUAUAGCUUGACACUGAACAUUGAGCCUUGAUGUGUAGGAUAGGUGGGAGGCUUUGAAGCGUGGACGCCAGUCUGCGUGGAGCCAACCUUGAAAUACCACCCUUUAAUGUUUGAUGUUCUAACGUUGGCCCCUGACCGGGGUUGCGGACAGUGUCUGGUGGGUAGUUUGACUGGGGCGGUCUCCUCCCAAAGCGUAACGGAGGAGCACGAAGGUUAGCUAAUCCUGGUCGGACAUCAGGAGGUUAGUGCAAUGGCAUAAGCUAGCUUGACUGCGAGCGUGACGGCGCGAGCAGGUGCGAAAGCAGGUCAUAGUGAUCCGGUGGUUCUGAAUGGAAGGGCCAUCGCUCAACGGAUAAAAGGUACUCCGGGGAUAACAGGCUGAUACCGCCCAAGAGUUCAUAUCGACGGCGGUGUUUGGCACCUCGAUGUCGGCUCAUCACAUCCUGGGGCUGAAGUAGGUCCCAAGGGUAUGGCUGUUCGCCAUUUAAAGUGGUACGCGAGCUGGGUUUAGAACGUCGUGAGACAGUUCGGUCCCUAUCUGCCGUGGGCGCUGGAGAAUUGAGGGGGGCUGCUCCUAGUACGAGAGGACCGGAGUGGACGCAUCACUGGUGUUCGGGUUGUCAUGCCAAUGGCACUGCCCGGUAGCUAAAUGCGGAAGAGAUAAGUGCUGAAAGCAUCUAAGCACGAAACUUGCCCCGAGAUGAGUUCUCCCUGAGACUUUAAGUCUCCUGAAGGAACGUUAAAGACGAUGACGUUGAUAGGCCGGGUGUGUAAGCGCAGCGAUGCGUUGAGCUAACCGGUACUAAUGAACCGUGAGGCUUAACCUUACAACGCCGAAG
rnacentral:rRNA from 1 species